AAUGCAAAACAAAUUUUAGAGUGUUAUUUUUAUGCAGGCAAGCUUGAAAAGUAGCCCCCGAAAAUUAAAUAUUAAUUUUUUCCCUGGACUCGCACUGAACUAGGGAGGGGCUGUCAUACACUCACAGGUAUAUCAGCAGAUGUAUAAAACUCCUUAGAAUAAUUAUGCAAAUAAUAAAAACAUGAAUUUUCACCAUUCUUUCCUAGAAAUAUUUACAUUUUUAGCAUAUUUUAAUGGGGCUUUUUUUUUUAUUCCUCCCAUAUGUGCUAUUGCAUGUAUGUCUAGCAUUCAAGCAUCUGAAUUAACUUUAGCCCAUGUUCUAAAAAUCUUAAAGGUUGUGUUGUUGGCUGGUAAUUUUGGAAAAAAUUACGACUAGUUUACUAUGGUUUUAAGGAAAUUGGCACCGGCCUAUUUUUAGCAAUGUUAUAUACACUGUAUACAGGGAAAUGGAUACAUUAAAUGCGUGGGAGUAAAAAAUUA